UCAGGGAAGGUAUCCCAGAAGAAUGGUGUGU
rnacentral:piRNA from 1 species